UACGUAGGUGGCAAGCGUUGUCCGGAUUUAUUGGGUUUAAAGGGUGCGUAGGCGGCCUUAUAAGUCAGUGCUGAAAUAUCCCGGCUUAACCGGGAGGGUGGCAUUGAUACUGUAGGGCUUGAGUGUAGUCGAGGUAGGCGGAAUUGACGGUGUAGCGGUGAAAUGCUUAGAUAUCGUCAAGAACACCGAUAGUGUAGACAGCUUACUAGGCUACAACUGACGCUGAGGCACGAAAGUGUGGGGAGCGAACAGG
rnacentral:rRNA from 1 species